GACAGAGGGUGCAAACGUUGUUCGGAAUUACUGGGCGUAAAGCGCGUGUAGGCGGCCCUGCAAGUCGGGUGUGAAAUCCCACGGCUCAACCGUGGAAGUGCAUUCGAAACUGCAGGGCUAGAGUCCUGGAGAGGAAGGUGGAAUGCUUGGUGUAGAGGUGAAAUUCGUAGAUAUCAAGCGGAACACCGGUGGCGAAGGCGGCCUUCUGGACAGUGACUGACGCUGGGACGCGAAAGCGUGGGGAGCAAACAGG
rnacentral:rRNA from 1 species